rnacentral:tRNA from 1 species
GCCUGGCUGGCUCAGUCAGUAGGGCAUGUGACUCUUGAUCUCAGGGUUGUAAGUUCAAGCCCCACGUUGGGUG